rnacentral:rRNA from 1 species
AUAAUAAUUAGGUUUUUAAUUGAAAUCUAGAAUGAAUGAUUGGACGAGAUACAGGCUGUUUUAUAAUAAUUAAUUAAAACUUAAUUUUUUAGUCAAAAAGCUAAAAUUUUAUUAAAAGACGAGAAGACCCUAUAAAUCUUUAUAAUAAAUUUAUUUUAAUGAAUUAUUUUAUUUAAAUUAAUAGUUUUAAUAAUAAAUUAUUUUAUUGGGGUGAUACAAAAAUUUAAUUAACUUUUUUAUUUAUAUUACUUAAAUUAAAGAUUUAUAAAAAUUUGAUCUACUAUUAGUAAUUCAGAGAAUAAGAUACUUUAGGGAUAACAGCGUAAUUUUAAUUUUAAGUUCUCAUUAAAAUUAAAGAUUGC